rnacentral:rRNA from 1 species
ACAGAGGUGGCGAGCGUUGUUCGGAUUUAUUGGGCGUAAAGAGCGCGUAGGCGGUCCUGUAAGUCGGUGGUGAAAUCCCGGGGCUUAACCCCGGAAUUGCCCUCGAUACUGCUGGACUUGAGUGCGGGAGAGGAUAGUGGAAUUCCUAGUGUAGAGGUGAAAUUCGUAGAUAUUAGGAAGAACACCAGUGGCGAAGGCAGCUAUCUGGACCGCAACUGACGCUGAGGCGCGAAAGCGUGGGGAGCAAACAGGAUUAGAUACCCUGGUAGUCCACGCCCUAAACGAUGGACACUAGGUGUGGGAGGUAUCGACCCCUUCCGUGCCGUAGCAAACGCAUUAAGUGUCCCGCCUGGGGAGUACGGUCGCAAGAUUA